CGUAGGGUCCAAGCGUUAUCCGGAAUCACUGGGCGUAAAGCGUGCGUAGGUGGCGCAUUAAGUGAGAUGUUAAAUCGUGUGGCUCAACCAUAUCGAUGCAUCUCAUACUGGUGUGCUAGAGGACGGCAGAGGCAAGUGGAAUUACGAGUGUAGCAGUGAAAUGCGUAGAUAUUCGUAGGAACACCAAUGGCGAAGGCAGCUUGCUGGGCCACUCCUGACACUGAGGUACGAAAGCGUGGGGAGCGAACAGGAUUAGAUACCCUGGUAGUCCACGCCGUAAACGAUGCAUACUAGUCGUAUGGGGUAUCGACCCCCUGUGCGACGCAGCUAACGCGAUAAGUAUGCCGCCUGGGAAGUACGGCCGCAAGGCUA
rnacentral:rRNA from 1 species